rnacentral:rRNA from 1 species
AGCGAACGCUGGCGGCAGGCCUAACACAUGCAAGUCGAACGAACCUUUCGGGGUUAGUGGCGGACGGGUGAGUAACACGUGGGAACGUGCCUUUAGGUUCGGAAUAACUCAGGGAAACUUGUGCUAAUACCGAAUGUGCCCUUCGGGGGAAAGAUUUGUCGCCUCUUGAGCGGCCCGCGUCUGAUUAGCCAGUUGGUUGAGGUAAUGGCUCAUCAAGGCGACGAUCAGGAGCUGGUCGGAGAGGAGGAUCAGCCACAUUGGGACUGAGACACGGCCCAAACUCGUACGGGAGGCAGCAGUGGGGAAUCUGGCGCAAGGAGCGAAAGCCUGACGCAGCCAUGCCGCGUGAAUGAUGAAGGUCUUAGGAUUGUAAAAUUCUUUCAACGGGGACGAUAAUGACGGUACCCGGAGAAGAAGCCCCGGCUAACUUCGUG